rnacentral:lncRNA from 1 species
CGAAACUGUGUCAGAAGUUCUCAUAAAUUUUUCCUCUCAAAACAUAGAUAAUAGCAGUGAAAAAUUCUAGUUGCGGGUUUAUCAGGCAUGAAAUUGCUUAUAUGCUUGAGAAGAGCACAUAAUCUACUCCACUCCAUAAAGAUCCAUUUCCAAGUUAUCCUGAUUCUACCUUUAUAACUGUAAGCAUAAUUUGUAAUGUAUCUCCAUCCCUCCCCCCCUUCAAAAUAUUCUGCUAUAAUGUAUUAUAUUUUGCUUGAUCUUGGUUUCUAACAGUCCCACAAUACUAGAGGAUAGUACCUAAAGUACCAUCUCUUUUCCAGACUUCAUUUGUUUUCUAACCACCAACCCCCGUCAUAUCACUCUUACUCAAUUCAUGAAAGGUAUUAGUCACUGGUAUUACAUCUUUGAUCACCCCUGGAGACUUCCUAGUUUUUGCAGGUUAAAUCCAACCUCUAGCAUCCUCCCUUAUUGUUGCCCUUGUGAUUGUAUCUUGCUUCAUGUUCUGUUGUGAUUCUACAUUAGAUUGAAUACCAGAAGCAAUUACAACUGGAAUAGUAUUGACAGUGGUUUCAGUUUCCUAAAGAAUUUCUUUAGCAAGUUGGACCAUUUCAUCUUCAUUAGUCUCCUCUCUUUGUUGCACCUUGUUCUUUCCACAGACAUCAUCAAUAUGCCCAUAUUUCUGAUGUAUGGUACAGAAAGAUGAUUUGCAGUCAUAAGUGAACUUAUGGUCAAUAAUACUUCGCCUAUUAUUCUAAAAAUAAAUCACUUCUAGGAGUGUUGCACCUAUCUUUGCUUUCCCCAAGAAUCUAGCAAAAUGCAAUCCCACUUUCCUUACAGUAUUUCUAUCCACCAUGAGCGGUUUGUCCACCAAACUCCCAAUUUUGCUAAGCUUCUGAGCACUCCAAUAUUUUAAGUCUAGGCCAGGCAACCUCACUUAAAUUGGGGCUGAAUACAAUUUCUCUCUUGAGAACUCCGUAUCAUGAUUCAAGGCUGUUCCUUGAAGCUUCUCAUUCCUUCCUUCUUCAUAAUCUAAACUCACCAAGAUAACUCCAUUCUUCAUUAUCGUAAUUUUAUUGAUAGCAAUCUUAUCCCUCAUCCUUUGAUUAAAUCCAUUUAGGACCAAAAAUGGGGGAUAAGCCCCCAAUAUAUAACAAACUAAUGUUGUUUUUUGGUAUUCCAUUUUAGUAACGAUUUCUUCCUAAUCUGAUGAUUCCCACUAACUCCUGGGUUCACAUACCCUACCUUAAAACCUGCAUUAGAUAUUUUAGUUAUAUUGAAGUUAUCCCAUACAGAAGCUUGAUUUGUAGCGAUUUACACGAGGAUUUAUCUCGUUGUUCAACCUUGUCAGCCCAUGAUUGGCUACAUUCCUUUUUCGGAGAAUAGAUAAUUUCAAGUCACUCACCUGAUUUCUCCUUAGCUUUGAUCAAAUCACCUCUUGUCAGCCCUAGUCGUAGUCGCAGCAACGGGUUAUUGCACUCCAGAGCUUUCAAUUUCCCCUUCACUAAUCUCAUCAAUCAAUCGUCCAACAGUAUGAACAGCAGCCUUAGUUAUGCAUGUCUUCCGUGUCGCAGGAUCUGUCUUCGUUAGUGUCUUCGCCCUCCUACCUGUUUGCCCCUAAUACUGAGACGUGAUGAAGGUCGGGCAGUAUUCGUGUCAAGGGCUGGAGCAUAUCCCCUUGACAUGUGUUCGUGGAAGUGUUGGCAAGAAAUGUGUAAAGCUGGGUGUGUGUUUAAGUUAGUGAUGGGCUUAGAUAAGUCAACUAAGGCAAGUAAGCUUGAUUGUUGGCAAUGCAGCCGUGGUUCGUGGGCAUCGGCUAUGGCAACGAAGGCAUAGCACUUGAAAAAGGCAUGCGUGGAUCAGUGGGACGACUAAGUUUAUGGAAAGGCGUGGCUCUGAACUAUGGGCGAGGCAUGAUCCUAAACAAUGCAAGGCAAAAGUUUAAGCUUGGGCAAAAUCUGGAAGGUAAGUGUGCAUGGCAUGUGACGAAGAGGUGUGCAAGGCAUGUGCUUGGAAGUUGGAGACAUGUGCUAAGCACAUGAGCAGUUAACUCUAAAGGCUGAAGACAAUGCCAUUUUGUGGGAAGAUUUUAAAUUUGAAUCACACAAAUCAGUUGUGCUUGUUUUUAAUUAAGUCAUGUGCAUGGCACAUUGUAAAAACUGCCCCUAAUUUCCCAUUGUAAAACUGUCAUAGGCUGCCCCUUUUAUAUUGUGUAAUUUGUUUGGCUAAGGCAAACAGCAUAAUUGUGAGCCUUACAAACGUGAUUCCUUUGCAUUCUGCAAGAAUUAAUAAAGGUUGGGUUUUUACCGUAA